rnacentral:rRNA from 1 species
AUACGUAGGGAGCGAGCGUUGUCCGGAAUUACUGGGUGUAAAGGGAGCGUAGGCGGGAUGGCAAGUCAGAUGUGAAAACUAUGGGCUCAACCCAUAGACUGCAUUUGAAACUGUUGUUCUUGAGUGAAGUAGAGGUAAGCGGAAUUCCUGGUGUAGCGGUGAAAUGCGUAGAUAUCAGGAGGAACAUCGGUGGCGAAGGCGGCUUACUGGGCUUUUACUGACGCUGAGGCUCGAAAGCGUGGGGAGCAAACAGGAUUGGAUACCCUGGUAGUCCACGCCCUAAACGAUGAAUACUAGGUGUGGGGGGACUGACCCCCUCCGUGUCGGAGUAAACACAAUAAGUAUUCCACCUGGGGAGUACGACCGCAAGGUUGAAACUCAAAGGAAUUGACGGGG